ACACACACAUUCUGUUGGUUCUGUUUCUAUGGAGAACCCUGAUACAGAAUGUUGGCAGGGGAAGGGUUUCCAACCUGGGUUGUUGCUUGUUUUCUUCUAAACUAACAAAAUUAAAUAUAUCUCACCACUGUGAGAAUUUAUUUCCUUCAAUGUUAUAAAAAAAGAUGACUAUUCCCUACAUACACAAAAUUCUGACUUUACUCCUUGUCGAUCAUAACUUUAUUCUUAGGGUUCAAUUCCCUUCUGAUUCUAAGUUGCACCAUAAAGAUUUCUGGUAUUAAUUGACAUUGAAGGGUCCCAGCUCCAGAUAAGUGUUCUGUAAGCUCUAGGUUUUUCUCCUGCAAUGGUGGGUUAUAGGGGUGGUGAAGGGGUAGAAGGACCAGGGUGAAAAGAAGUCUCCUCACCUGCCACAACCUUUAGAGAGUGUUUGUGGUUAUGCACCCCGCCCCCCCCUCCCUCCCCAAAGAUUUAGACCUUCCCUAAGCACCAUGUAUUCUGGGAAACUGUUCUGGGCUCUGGGACUGGUUUGUUUCAGGCCAAACCUAGGAAUGGGGAUGAUGUAGACACAAGAAUAUUUUGAGCCAUUUGGUCUCAUUUAAUCUAGCAGAAUUUACACUCAAUUUGGGACUCAGAAGUGGAAGAUUCUGUGUGUCCUAGAGAUGCCAAGUUUUGUACAAAUGGCAUCACUGACAUAUAGAUCUUGACUCGCCCUUGAGGAUCCCUGAGAGCAUGUAAGAAAGAUCUCAGUAGCCAGACUUGGAAAAGGAGAGGAAGUGAGAGGGGAUAUCACCCUGUUGGCGUGUCAGGCAAUCUAAACUCUGGUGUUUUCACAGCAGUUGAGGCUGGGAUUUUCGUCUUCCUAUCACAUUAUUUUGCAAAUAUUCCAUGGAGCGUUUGUUCUAAAUAUCCUUUGAUUUGGCAGAGACACCUCUGCAUCACGAGGAACUGGCAGCUGGAAGAACUGAAGGAACCCUGCAGCGGGGGCUGAUUUCUUCAAUGCUCAUAAAUUCUGCAUGCUGUGGAAACAACAAAAUGCAUAACAAACACACACUCUGAGAAUCUUCUUAGGAACCCUUUUCAGUCUGUGCUUCUGCAGAGAACAGGGGCAUCAUCUGAAAAGUAAAUAAUCACCUGGGGUCCUAAACCCACAAUGGGUGAAUGAGAGACUGAUGGGCUUGACUCUCCAAAUUUGGGUCUCACUCCCUGGAUUCCACCGGCAAAAGCCAAGUGUGCAGGGGGGUGAAUGGCGGCAGGAGAGAGAAGGAAGAAGAAAGUGGUAAUGCCAGUCUCCCAGUGGAGCCACUACUCUUCUUCGGGAAAAGAAGCCGGCACAAAGAAGGUGACAGCCAAAGUGAGCCGCCGUGACACGGAGGCUCCUGAGCUGGCCACUCCUUGGUUCGAGUCCGAGCCACGUGACUAGAGGUUUACCAGCCACGUGACUAGAGAAUCUCUUCCCACGCGCUACUGAACCUGGAUGUUCUUCAGCUGAUUACCACGAGUGGUGAGAAAUGCAUCUGCAUUUGCAAAAGCCAAAUAGACUGCAGUUGGGUAGAGCUGCGAUCAAGGUCUGAUAAACGUGUCGAGGUGGCCGCACUAUCUGGUGCACAGCCCUCCUUAAAACCUGGCCGACUCAGUGGAAAGGUUCCCGCAGACAAAACGUCUGCCAUCCUUGGAGGGAAGCAGCCUUUCCAGCCAACCACAUAGGCCAGAGUCAACGUGAAAGAAAUGACAUGAUUAUGGAACGUUCCUGAUUGCAGAGCAGCACAUGUGUCUUUGAAGAAAGAGCUGCUUCUUUCCCCUCACAGUCUGACGUCAGAGGAGACGCCACGCCUCUCUGGAUGGCAAGCAAUGACAAGUUCUGACGAUGUGGGCCUGUGAGCGCGGGGGUCUACCCCGACUAGUUCCAAAGUGCAGAUGGAAUGGGUGUGUGCCCCAUCGGUGUCCGCUGGUUUUCACGGUGGCCUGGUGUGUGAGCGUGUCAUCCUCACCUUCAUGCCUCCUCAUUAUCAGAAAUAUAACCAAUGGAUCAGAAUUCCAGAGUCUCUAUCAAGUCUCAUGGCUUCACUUUGAGUUUGGAAGCAGGGCCUGGACCCUGGUGGAUGGAAUCGUUGUCUCUACAUCCAUCACUCUGCCUUCUGUCCUCACCCUUGCCACGGCCUCGCUGUGGGUGGAGUGUAACCCCUUGACUCUGCGUUCUGCCAUGUGACAUCCUUGGGCCAGUGAUACAUGGAUGGAAGUGAGGGGUUGCCAGUUCCAAGCUCAAGUCUUGAGAGCCCUUGGAUUUUCUGCUUUUUCCCUGUGUGUCAGAGAAGACCUUCUAGGUCUCUGGGCCCUGAGGUUUAUACUUGGGGGGCAGAGAUGAGCCAAGCCUCAGCGAGGGCCAAGAUAAGCUACGCCCCAAGCUUGAGACGGAGCCUGAACCAACCAGCGUCCGGCUGACGUGCAGACCCACGGACCUGCAGCUCUGAGAAAAAAGAAAACAGCCCCCAUGUUGUGAGCUAUGCUAUGGAGAGGCCCACGUGGGGAAGAGGCUGGUGAGGAAUCCUGAGUCAGAGGCACCAAGGGGCACCCAGCUAAGGUGUGCCAGUUUCCUGACCAAUAGGCACGCCACAGAUCACCAAGAAGUGUAAGUGGUGGCAGUCUGAGGCCUGCCAGCAGCCAUCAAUGUCAAGGAGCCAGCUUGGAAACAGACCAUUCAGCCCCGGUCAGGCCUUCAACUGAUUGCAACCCCGGCUGACAUCUUGACUGCAAAAUCAUGAGCAACUCGGAGCCAGAAGCACCGAUUCAAGCUUCCUCUGAAUUCCUGACCAGCAGAAAUUGUGAGCGAAUGCUGCAUCUGCCAGCCCAUGCAGACUUGGAGCUCUGCUCACUCGCUGAGGCUCACAGUGAACGGUCACGGCUGCCCUCAAGGAGUUCCCUAGACCCCAAGACCACUUGGAUUUCCAGCUCGGCUCCAUAUGUUCGCAUGCCUUUCAGAUUGACCCGUUUGGGUACAAGUAUCCACAUCUGUUUCAACCAUCUGUGGCCAAAGGCAAAAUCACAUUGUAUGAUGAACUGCCCCUUAAAGAUUUUGAGUGGGACAGUUUCUUCUUGUUGAAGUAUGAAAGAGAAGAAAAUGAUUGCACAUACAUCUUGAGUCCCUCCAAAGGCCGAAAAUGCCUCUAGAGUCAGGAGGGCAUUCGUGGGGUUGAUUCUGGAGACAGCAGCAUUUCAAGGCCUCACAACCUUCUAGGUAGGCGGGCUAUGUGGUUUCCAUAGAAGACAUCUGAGUCAAUACUAAUGUCUGUUGGGAGCCUACUUUUAUUAGGAAGGCAUUUAUUUAUUCAUUACUGAGGAAACCCAACAAUUUCCUAUAGUUCCAUUCUGAUUUUAAUUAGAAUAUUAAUCAGCUAUGCUCUGCACAAUUUUGGCUAAAAAUCCACAAUGCAAUAUACUAAAAUUCCUAGGAACAGAGCCAAUUUAAUUUGUAUUAGAUAUUUUGCCCCAGGUUAGCAUUAGGAACUUAUUAUUGCAUGUCUCAUGCAGCUAUUAUUAUUAUAAAUGUGCGUAUUGUGCAAAUUAAAAUCAUAUUUUAUUCAGGGAAAAACCUCUCUGUUUGCUUGAUUCCUAGUGACUGUGUUUCUGUUCCUGAGAGAAUUCAGUACUUGUGACAUCUCUCAUGGUAGGUCUAGCAAGGAAAUGCCUUUGGGAUGUUCAGCCACUUACCACUUCUGGAAGGACAUAGUUUACCCACCGCUUCAAUGGCUGCACUGAGGACACAGAGGAACACCAGAUGAUGGCAAGCACUGUGUCUUUGUUUAAGGAGUUUUUAGCAUCUACGAUAAUGUAUGACAGAUAUAAUGGGGAAGUACAGGAUGCUAUGAUAUACUCAGUGGGGGGCCUUAGCCUUGUUGAGGGAGUCAGGAAAGACCCUCCAAGAGGCUAGGAUGUGCAAUCCAAUUACUUAACCUGACAAUUAGCAGAAGUUGGGAGGAUGGGGUAGGUAUGAGAAGAGUGAACCAAAGUUCAGUGUGGCUGUAUUAUAGAGGGUGCAGUGAGGAUUGGCAAGACCAGAACUGGAGAACUAGAGUGGGGUCAGGUAAUGGAGAAUGUUGAAGCCACGGUAUGGAAUUUACCAUAAGGAGCAAUGGGAAGCCAAUGAGGCCCUUAGUAGAAGAGUAGUAUGAGGAGGUCUGCAUUUUAGUAGAAUCCCUCUAGCUAAGAAGUGGAGCAUGGGUUGGAAGGAAAUAACAGUAGAAGCAAAGACAUUAGUUAGGAAAUCAUUUCCAUCAUGCAGACAAAAGAAGAUCAUGGCCUGGUCUAUGGGAGUAUCUGUGGAAAUGGAGAGAAGUGGAUGGAUCAUUUGGGAGGUGAAAUUGAUAGGUGGUGACGAUGACUUAGAUAGGCAAGUGAGAAGAGUGACGGACCAAGGGAGAAUUCCAGGUUUGCUUGAAACAUCUUGGUGGAUGAUGGUGACAGUUACUGAGAUGAGAAAUAUGGAAGGCAAAGCAUUUUUAUUUUGGGGGGGGGGGCAGGUGCUGGGGAGAAGAAAGGUGAUGAGUUCAAAUUUGAACAUGUUGAGUUUGAAGGCCUGGAAGAUCCAUAGGUGGUGCUGUCUUGGAGGUGAGUGGAUACACGGGGCUGCUUUUCAGGAAAAGAGACCUGGAGGGAGAUAAAGACUGAGAAAUCUCAACACAGGGAUGGUCUUUGAAGCUAUGGAUUUUGUUGGCGUAUUCCAGGAAAGCAUAUCCCUUGAGAAAAGAAGAUGCAAGACCCAGCCUUGAGCAACCACCUGAGGGCAGGGAAAAGAAGCGCAUGCAAAGGAGACUAAGAAGAAGGGUGAAGAGUGGCUGGAGAGAAACCAGGAAGCACUGGAACCACCUGUGCUUAGAGAAAUGUGUCGUAGACCUGAGAGGGCAGUCAACAGUUUCACAUGCUGCUGAGGACUCAAAUAACACGGUGCCCCAGAGAGCUGAACUCAGUCCCAUAUGGCUACAACCUCAGAGUACAGUAGCCAAAGGUCUUAGCCCCCAUUCACCCCUGCAUACUUACAUUCAACUUCUUGUCCUUCUUCUCUCUUUUUGAGCUUACAUGUAUUUUCAUAAUGAAAAGAAACAUAUCCAGUAUCAAAUGUUCAGUGUAGUGAGUGGGUUUCCACUUGAACUCUUUGUCAUUUUGAUUAGAAAUCUUCAUCUAGAGAUAUAUAAUCAUUGCUUUUCUGUGCUCACUGUGUUCACCAUCACAUAAAUGUUCAUAUUUAUUUGGUAGCUGCAUUAAAGUAGCUGUUCUCAGAUGAGGUCCCUGGUACAAAAUCAAUAACCUCACCUGAUGUGAUAAGCAGAAUUCCAAGACGACCCCUACAUUCCUGACUCCCCGGUGUACAUGCUGUCUAUAAUUCCCUCCCUUUGAGUGUGACUGGCACUUCUAAAUAUAAUGAGAUAUCCCUUCCACGAUUAUGUUAAUAAGAAAAAGGGAUUUUUCAGAUAUAAUUAUGGUAUCUAGUCAGUCAACUUUGAGUUGAUCAGAAGGGAGAUUAUUUGGGUGGGCCUGACAUAAUCAAUUAAGUCCUUUGGAGCAUCUGGGUGGCUCAGUCUGUUAAGUGUCUGACUCUUGAUUUCGGCUCAGGUCAUGAUCUCACGGUUCAUGGGUUCGAGCCCCGUGUUGAGCUCUGUGCUGAUGGUGUGGAGCCGCUUAGGAUUCUGUCUCCCUCUCUCUGCCCACUCUCUCUCUCUCUCUCUCGAAAUAAAUAAACUUAAAAAAAAUUAAGUCCUUAGAAUUAAAUUUUUCCUCAGGAAGGAAACCUUCUCUGGCCAAACAAAUUCAACGCAUGAAAGAAAUUUCUCUUGUUGGCCUUGAAAUGAAGAGAAUUGUGGGAAGGGCCAUGGAGAGGCUACGUGGCAAAGGACCUGAAGGUGACGUCCAGUCCCUGGAUAACAGCCAGCAAGACAGGGGGCCCUUGACUCUACACCCACGAGGAGGUGUAUUCUGCUGUCACCCACCACAUGAGCUUGGAAGACGACUCUUUGUUACAGAAUGGAAUGCAGUCCAGCUGACACCUUCAUACCACUGUGCCAACGGCCAAUGCUGUUGCGGGCUGUCCUUGCAGGUUGGGGCCCAUAAGUCAUGCCCCAGUGGGUUCUGGAUGCAGAGAGUUCCCUGCCUUGCUCAGCCUCCGCUGUGUACAUCUCCUUAUUGUCCUCUCCUCCUACAGUCCCUGCCUGGAUCCCUGGUGAUCCCCCGUCACCAGCACAAGCGUAGCCAAGGUCCUAGUUUCCACCAAGAAGUCUGAAAAAAGAAUCCAGUGGCCUCUGGUCGCUCAGUACAGGCAUGGGCCCUGAGGAAAAUUAGCCCCAGCCAUGAACAAAACCCACUGGAAGGAGGGAAGGACAGUGUAAUUCAUUUAACCCCUCCCGGCCUCAGUCCCCCCAUGGAAAAUGAGGGAACAAGAAUGGUCCUUGAUUUGGUGUGGGCUCAAACCUGACCCUGUUCUUCCAGCUGUGACCCUUGGGCCAGCCCCUUCCCUGCUCUGAGCCUCACACCCCUCACCAGGUUCUGAGCGGCAAGGAGGGAGAUGUAAACCAAAGGGCACAUGGAAGUUAUGGGCAAAGAGCCCUGUGGAGGUGGGUGGCUGUUCUUCCAGAAUCUAAUUUUAUUUGACUCCCAUGGUUUCUCCAGCCACCGUGACAUUUUGGCAACACGGCGGUUCAGGAGCGGGGCUCUGGGGCCAGACGGCUGUGUUGAAUCCUGGCUCCGCUAAUCCCCAGCCGGGGGAUCUCAGCCAGUAGCUCAACCUGCGUGCUCCCCGCUGUCCUCACCCGUAAGUGGGUCGGUAAUAGAACCAUCUCAGCGGUCACGGUGAGGAGUCAGUGAGUUAGUACACGUAAAGGCUUCAGGCUGUUCCCAGUAAUAAUCCCUGCCCUCAGAAGAUGCUACUCUUGUGGGGCGCAGGCGGGAAUAAUGACCAGGGAGGCAUCUAGGGUGCAGGGAAUAAGCUGUUUCCUGAUCUGGGAUGUAGCUUUACAGGUGUAUUCUGUAUAUAAAAGCUCAUCGACCCGUGUGUGGAAGAUACGUGCACUUUCUCUAUAUCAUGCCUCCCAGAAAGGUGUUUUUUGUUUGUUUGUUUUAAUUAGUGCUUGGGAAUGAGCAAAAUUCCUAGGAAAACUCCAGGCUUUCACAGGCUGUGGAAUUUGAUGUGGUAUAAGGCAGAUCAAAAGGCUUGUAAAGGGCUUCCUAGGUUACGGGAACCCAGCUUGUCUGGGUUAUAGGUUGAAUAAAUAGAGAAUUACACUAAGGUAUUGAUGUGAUGUGAAGACAGGACAAGGGUGGCAAGUAGGAAGUCCCAGAGAAGUUGGGAGACAUCUAGAAGCUCAGGAGGUGGUGGGACCUCUGAGGCUCUGUGGUAGGGGUGGAGUCCCCUCCCCCACCCUUGGGUACCCUUUGUGACUAGUCACUCUGUGAUGCAGGCGUGGAACACUCUAGAACAGAGCACACAUCUCACUGCCCAUUGCCUAAGACAGCAGUGUGCUUCAGGUGGUGAAAAACUAUCUCCUCUUUCUGGGGACAGUGAGACAUGGGGUUCAAUUCCAUUUUCUAUUUUUAGGGUAUGGUUGGGCUCCUCCCUCUAUCAUUCUUCUUCCUAGAGGGAAGCCAAUUGCUACCUGUCUUCGGAAUAAAGGAGACAUUGGAAAGGUAAGGGAGUCAAGGCCCAGAUCUAUCGAGAUCGACUUUUGAUUUUCCUGCUCCUGUCUCCAAGUUUGCAGAUAAAUUCUGUUGGCACCAAGGGACAUCUGACAUGAGAACACUUAAGAGAGAAUAAAACUAUCAUGUAGGAAUGGUUUAGAAUGCUGACUGAGCUUUCCAACUCAUAGACCAUCUUUCUUGGUCUGAAUGAAGAUUUUCUUGGUAAAAUUCCAAAUGCAGUGAUUCAGUGACCAUGGAUUGGAUCAAGGGAGUUCAGGACACAUGAUGAAUAGUGUGCUCUAGGUUUUGCUCAUCAGCUGCCUUCCUAUCUUUGGUAUCCCUGGAAUAAGUGUUUCCUUUGUAUUAGGGACAAUCUCAAGAGCAAUGUUGAACUUCUGAAAGCCUCUGGAGAGAUGUCAGAGCCCUCUCUCUGUUAAGGAGCAGAAUUCUGAUGGAGCACCAAGCAAUUGUAGGCCUGAGACUUUGUGCCCCUCUUCAUCUGAGGACCACCAACUCAAAUAUCAAUUGAGAGUCAUGUUAAAAAAACUUUUCUUUGAGUUUUUCAAAAAGGAAAAAGAAGAAUCCACUUUAAAGGUGAAUGUCUUAUUCCAGACAAUAUGAUGCAUUUCUCCCUCUGCUUUCUACUAAAUACAGCUGCAAACUCUGGACAUUGUAAACAUAUGAAGGCUCUGAAAGAUAUAGAGAAGGUUGUGGGUCAGCUGGAGACCUCAUGAGUCGAGGAACAAUGUGGCUGAAACAACAACAAAAUGAAACACUCGGUGGAAUGCGGAAUGUCAAUUCUGUGAGGAUAACCAUGAAUUUUGCAGCGAGUUUUUUUCACUGCAGCGGGAGGCUCCACCACAGGAGUGGUCGCUGCGGAGAUUUGGAAGGGCCACCAUAACGAAGCACCACAGACUGGGAGGCUUGAACAACAGAAAUGUAUUUUCCUCACAGUUCUGGAGGCUGGUAGUCCAACAUCAUGGCAUCAGUAAAGAACUUCAAAGCGAGUAGACAACGUUGAACAUUUUCCAAGAUCCUCGAGGGGCCUGGUCCGGGAUUUCUCGUUCAGGAAAAUGCACAUCAUCUUAACCAAGUCUGUCCAGUGGGAACUUCAUACCCUGUCUUUGAAGCCCAGUGUGUAUUUUACAUUAACAGCACAUCUUCAUCCACUGCUAAAAACUCAUUGGAAGCUGCUGAUCCGUAUUUCAAUACGGAUGCGAGUUGGCCAGAAUAGCUUCAUACUCGUCAUUUCAAGCAUACGUAAGGAGUGCCUGCGUGGCUCCGUCGGUUAAGCAUCCGACUUCGGCUCGGGUCUUGGAACUCACAGCUCGUGGGUUCGAGCCCUGCAUUGGGCUCUGUGGAGUCUGCUUCGGAUUCUGUGUCUCCCUCUGU